UACCUGGAGGACUAGUGGUUAGGCCAAAGAGCUCUCAUCCACAUGGCCCUGGUUCGAUUCCCAGCCUGGGAA